rnacentral:rRNA from 1 species
AUACGUAGGGGGCAAGCGUUAUCCGGAUUUACUGGGUGUAAAGGGCGCGUAGGCGGCGCGGUAAGUCUGGAGUGAAAGUCCUGCUUUCAAGGUGGGAAUUGCUUUGGAUACUGCCGCGCUUGAGUGCAGGAGAGGUUAUCGGAAUUCCCGGUGUAGCGGUGAAAUGCGUAGAGAUUGGGAGGAACACCAGUGGCGAAGGCGACUUACUGGACUGUAACUGACGCUGAGGCGCGAAAGUGUGGGGAGCAAACAGGAUUAGAUACCCUGGUAGUCCACACUGUAAACGAUGAAUGCUAGGUGUAGGGGGUAUCGACCCCUUCUGUGCCGCAGUCAACACAAUAAGCAUUCCGCCUGGGGAGUACGGCCGCAAGGUUGAAACUCAAAGGAAUUGACGGGG